rnacentral:tRNA from 1 species
CUGCGUGUAGCUCAAAGGAUAGAGCGCCGGGAUCCUACCCCGAAGGUUGCAGGUUCAAAUCCUGCCACGCAGACCA